AUUCUUCAGGGCAGGGUGCAAUUCCCGACCGGCGGUAUAGCCCGCGAGCUACGAUUGUAGUUGAUUUGGUGAGAUUCCAAAGCCGACAGUAAAGUCUGGAUGAGAGAAGAUA
rnacentral:ncRNA from 1 species